CUUAAUUCCAGCGGGAUAGAACACUCGUGUAUUUAAUGACAGGACUAUAUACAGCUGUGGAGCUCUCCAUUUCUUGGAAUGCCAGUCAGGACACGGCAAGAAGAUGGCCAUCUGUGAACCAGAAGGAGAGCCCUCAGCAGAACUCAACCAUGCUGGCACCCGGAUCCUGGACUUCCCAGCCUCCAGACUGUGAGAAAUAAGUCUCUGUUGUUCAUGCCACCCUGUCUAUGGGAUUGUGUUAUAGCAGCCCAAACGGACUAAGAUGAUGGCACUGAUGUCAAGUGUGUGUGCAGCAUACCCAUAUUGUCCUGUGUUACAGAUUAUAUUUUCCAAAGAUGGCUGCAACAAUAUCUUGCAGCAUCCCAUGUGUGCUCUCCUUACAGGGUAACGUUGCCAUCCCUCCCAUCAAAGGGGACUCGAAGUCCACUCUCCUUGAAGACGGAGGGCCUCUGUGACUUCCUUGACCAAGAGAGUUGGUUGAAAGUGAUGC
rnacentral:lncRNA from 1 species